AUUCUGUUCUGAAAAGGACACUAAACUUGGUGAUAAUUCAUGUUCAGUUACAUUUGGAAACAACCUUAAGGGAGCCAGUGUAAAGUUAGCACAAUGAAGCAUGAUCUUGAAGCUCUGGAAAAGAAAAUAAAAAUUUAACCAAGUCUUUUCACAUUUGCUGCAAGAUAAAAGAACAGAGUUCUUCUGGUACUAUUGAGUUGGUCAAUGACUAUCUAAAGAAGAAAACUUGUUGCAGAUUUAUACGCCAGGGUAUUCAGUUGUGGAGGUUGACGAUUUGCAGAACAGUAUGGCCAUCACAAUGUUAUCCUCACUACCAUGGGUUCAUCUGGCAGAGUCUCACUAAUACUGGCCGAAAUUCAAGUGUUUUGGUUGCAAACAAAUUGAAUGAUAUGAACAUCAGUAAGAACUUCCCAAACAUGGAUGCAUGCUCUGCAUUUCGUUUUGUCUUUAACCAUGAAUCGACUAAGAAUGUUGGGCCCAAAGUUUGGCACAGGAAAC